ACUAGGUGAGAACUAAUUCUGUAAUCCACGAUACUGGAAGGCCAAGGCUGGAGGAGUGUCUAAGAUCAAGGGUUCUGGGCUGCAAUGCGCUAUGCCGAUCGGAUGUCCAUGCUAAAGACGAUGUCGAUAUGGCGAUCCUGAGGGAGCUCUAAACCACCAGGUCCUCCAAGGAGAGGUGAACCGGCCCAGGUCGGAAAUGGAGCAGGUCAAAGGCCCCGUGAUCAGUCGCUGUAGUGAAGUACAACGCGAUCAGGCCUUUUACACCGCAAUGAUUAUAAAAGAACAUGAUUUCU
ensembl:misc_RNA Metazoa_SRP Metazoan signal recognition particle RNA